AACACAAUAUCACACACCUAUACCCCCCUCCAAAAAAAAAAAAAUUUGACCCCCAAAAAAUUACCCUCAUUUCAAGUAAAAGAGCCCUAAAUUUUCAUAAAAAAAAAAGCAAAAAAAAACGCAAAAACACCAAAAUUUUCUUACUCCCAAAAAAAUUUUUUUUUUACUUUGGAAAAAAACGUUAUUAAAAACACCCAAAAAACAACAAAAAAAUUCCAAAAAAAAAAUAAAUAAAAAAACCGGGAGAACAGGCGAAGAAAGAAUUCUGUGGGAUUUAAGAGAAAAAAUAAUUUCCCCAGUGCGCCCCAACCUUGAUUUUUAAUUAAUUUUAUCAAUAUAGUCUAGUAAUAAAACGGAUCAAUACGACUACAACUUCAAUUGCUUUUUACAUUUGUGAAGUGUUAUAAACUAAAUCGAUCAUUGAAAAUAUUUACAUGGUUGUCAAGAGUAUGUUUACAUGUUGCCUAGAUAACGUUGUCAUCACAUGUAAACAUAUAGCAGACUGGUGCGGUCUUUCGUUUCAAAUUAACAGUGGUGAGAAGACGUGAAUUAAUGUUUCAAGAAAGUAAUUCUACAAAAGAAAUACAAAUGGAAAUUCAAGAGUGUCAGGCGCAGCCUCAACCACAGAACUGGCCAUGGAGUUUAGAAGAAAGUAACAUUUUGAUAGAAAAUAUUUAUUACUAUCAGAGAAUGAUUGAGACAAUCGAAAGAGCUAAGAGUUUGGGACCGGUUAAACUUCCAAAAGCUCCGAAAAGAAAGGUGCAGGACUUAUUUAAAGAAAAACUGGGAAAGAAAAAAAAGCAAACUAUCCCGACGACCCCUGAAGAACUUCACACCUUUCUAAGAAGCAGAAAGGCGGAUUUAUCAAAGACAAUUUCGAGGCAGAAGUUUAUUUUUAAUAGUGAAAAAGACCCUGUUAAACAGUUACAAGAAGCAUACAAACACUUGGGAAGACAUAACGCCCAAGGUAUGCUGUUUAACAUUACUUUCGGUGAUUUCCUUAAUGAUUUGAGAGACUGGUUUCUUUCGGCAAAGGUCAAUACAACGUGGGACACAUGGUUAUCAUCUAAGAUAGAUAUAUCUAUACCUCAUGCUCGGAAAUUAAGACAACUUGCUAAUCUACUUAAAGGAUUUAAAGGUUUUCUGAACAUUAAUGUUUCAAUCAAUGAUAUUCUUUCAAAACAAGAACUUAUCAAACAAAUGUUAGCAAUUGAUCAGUUUGCCACCUUUUGGAGACAGGUAGACUAUAUUCCAGCAGAUGAUGAACUUACUCCGUCACAAGAAGUUUGAUAUGUAUGUGAUAUUGUAUUCCAUAUAAGGAGUGAUCAUACAUGAUCAGUAGGUGGGACAUAGUAACGGUUAUUCAUAACCGGGUAACUUUUAGUGGAUGUGACAGUUCUAACUUUGAACAGUGAUAUUAUGUUUAUAGUGUUUGAUUUGUAUGUAUUCAUUGCACUUUUGUUUUCAAAUUAAAAUUUUGAAACUGA